rnacentral:rRNA from 1 species
UACAGAGGUCUCAAGCGUUGUUCGGAUUCAUUGGGCGUAAAGGGUGCGUAGGCGGCGCGGUAAGUCGGGUGUGAAAUCUUGGAGCUUAACUCCGAAACUGCAUUCGAUACUGCUCUGCUUGAGGACUGGAGAGGAGACUGGAAUUCACGGUGUAGCAGUGAAAUGCGUAGAUAUCGUGAGGAAGACCAGUGGCGAAGGCGGGUCUCUGGACAGUUCCUGACGCUGAGGCGCGAAGGCCAGGGGAGCAAACGGG